GCUUCUCUUGAGAGCGGCGGACGGGUGAGUAAUGCCUAGGAAUCUGCCUGGUAGUGGGGGAUAACGUUCGGAAACGGACGCUAAUACCGCAUACGUCCUACGGGAGAAAGCAGGGGACCUUCGGGCCUUGCGCUAUCAGAUGAGCCUAGGUCGGAUUAGCUAGUUGGUGGGGUAAUGGCUNACCAAGGCGACGAUCCGUAACUGGUCUGAGAGGAUGAUCAGUCACACUGGAACUGAGACACGGUCCAGACUCCUACGGGAGGCAGCAGUGGGGAAUAUUGGACAAUGGGCGAAAGCCUGAUCCAGCCAUGCCGCGUGUGUGAAGAAGGUCUUCGGAUUGUAAAGCACUUUAAGUUGGGAGGAAGGGUUGUAGAUUAAUACUCUGCAAUUUUGACGUUACCGACAGAAUAAGCACCGGCUAACUCUGUGCCAGCAGCCGCGGUAAUACAGAGGGUGCAAGCGUUAAUCGGAAUUACUGGGCGUAAAGCGCGCGUAGGUGGUUAGUUAAGUUGGAUGUGAAAUCCCCGGGCUCAACCUGGGA
rnacentral:rRNA from 1 species